CAGUCGAGCGGACAGAUGGGAGCUUGCUCCCUGAUGUUAGCGGCGGACGGGUGAGUAACACGUGGGUAACCUGCCUGUAAGACUGGGAUAACUCCGGGAAACCGGGGCUAAUACCGGAUGCUUGUUUGAACCGCAUGGUUCAAACAUAAAAGGUGGCUUCGGCUACCACUUACAGAUGGACCCGCGGCGCAUUAGCUAGUUGGUGAGGUAACGGCUCACCAAGGCAACGAUGCGUAGCCGACCUGAGAGGGUGAUCGGCCACACUGGGACUGAGACACGGCCCAGACUCCUACGGGAGGCAGCAGUAGGGAAUCUUCCGCAAUGGACGAAAGUCUGACGGAGCAACGCCGCGUGAGUGAUGAAGGUUUUCGGAUCGUAAAGCUCUGUUGUUAGGGAAGAACAAGUACCGUUCGAAUAGGGCGGUACCUUGACGGUACCUAACCAGAAAGCCACGGCUAACUACGUGCCAGCAGCCGCGGUAAUACGUAGGUGGCAAGCGUUGUCCGGAAUUAUUGGGCGUAAAGGGCUCGCAGGCGGUUCCUUAAGUCUGAUGUGAAAGCCCCCGGCUCAACCGGGGAGGGUCAUUGGAAACUGGGGAACUUGAGUGC
rnacentral:rRNA from 1 species